UACGGAGGGUGCAAGCGUUAAUCGGAAUUACUGGGCGUAAAGCGUGCGCAGGCGGCUUUGCAAGACAGAUGUGAAAUCCCCAGGCUCAACCUGGGAACUGCGCUCGAAACUGUGGGUCUUGAGUGUCGGAGAGGAUGGCGGAAUUCCUGGUGUAGAGGUGAAAUUCGUAGAUAUCAGGAGGAACACCGGUGGCGAAGGCGGCCAUCUGGACGACAACUGACGCUGAGAUGCGAAAGCGUGGGGAGCAAACAGG
rnacentral:rRNA from 1 species